rnacentral:lncRNA from 13 species
GAAAAAAAUGACUAGGUAUCCCCCCUUACCCCCGUCACUGUCCAAUUCUUGUUUUUAAACGAGAGAAGUGUUACACCUGGUGGAGAGAGAUUGUAAGACAGAAAUAGUUGCUUAAUGCGUGCUGUACGUUACGGCAAGACACGUCACGAUGUAACGGAGGGUCAGUUUUUUUCAACUUUUUUCCAAUACUAUAGGGCCAUUACCAUGUCGAUCAACACUUGAAUAGAAACGUAGUUCACACCACAGAUCUUGAAGUCAACAGAUUCGCUACAGUCCCAUUAAUUUUCUUUGCAGCCUCUUUGAAUGUCGCGGUUGCGCACAUUUGUACGGAAGGGGGUGAGUUGAUGUUCCAUGUCAGAUAGUCAAGUACUGUAACGUAAUACAUUUUGUUGACAGAUUUGUUUUUGUAAUGUUUUGUUUGCUCCACCUCAUUUAGCUAGACUGAAAUUGACAUGGUUACUGUUUGCUGAAAAACAAAUGUCCCUGUAUUUGCUGUGUGUGUGUGUUGGCGAAGCAUACAAGAGAGGUAGCUUGUUAAUGCCAACUGAUAUAUUUGGGUUCAGUUGUCUUCAGGAUGAUAUCUAUAUCCCCGAAAAGGAUUUCAUCCUGGAGGAGACUGUGCAGGAGGCAGAGGAGGUACUUGCAAAUGCAUGUUAUUUCUAAGGCUAUUGUUUAUUUCAAGUACAGUAUAUGCAGUGAUUAAUGAAUAUAACUAUAGCCUAAUAUAUGCCUUAAUUGUUUUCUACCAACAGGAAAGAAUGGUUAGUACAGCAUGCCAAACUGACCCCUGGGUGCCAGAGUGUUCCUGUGAUGCGGUGGAAAAGAGGUCCACCGGGACCAUCACUAAAGAAUCACAAUCAUCACAGUGCAAGCCAAGAUAUAUCAAUCACUUCGGGGGAGUGGGCUGGUGUUCCAAAUAUGGAGAAGGAGAAGGCCAUUCAACAGCGAAUUCAAAGAUACACCCAUCCAUAAAGGGAAUCGGAGUGGAAUUGCUUUUCCACUUAUUUUUUUUUACCGUUUCAACAGAUGUGCUACCUUGUCCCGGUCCUGAUGUUUCGACUCUCUCUCUCAACCUAUGAAUGCUCAGCUAUGAGGUAUUGAAUUGUUGCACCCUCUAUAACCAUUGAUUGUGGUUAUUAUUUUGAUGUAAAAAGGGCAUUUGUAAAAUACAUUCAAUUGAUUGUUUGCUGUGCUGGAUGCUGUGGAUUUACUAACUGUCUGAGUGAUGGGACAUUUAUAUAGAAUCUAACAUAUUUUGGUGUGUAUUUAAUCUGCAUCUUAACUUCUUAUAAAGUGGCAAUCAGCAGUAUAAACAAUAACAAAGUGCCUCUCUGCUCCUCUUUUGGUAAAAAGCUGAGGGAUGGGUCUGGAGAAAUGUAACCACUCUCAAAAUCAUAGACAGGGCUAUAGAUGCUAGGACUGACCAUCCAUGAUAUCAAAAUUGUAAUCCUGUUUCUAUGAUCUGUUUUCACUACCAUGUACCCAGUUCACUUUGGAUAAAGUUGUCUGCUAAAUGGCAUAUAUUAUUAAAGUCUACUUUGACCCAGUGUAGUUACCAUUCCUCUCCAAAGAUGGCAGCCAAAGCUAGGUGAAGUCACUACAGGGACACAGGGUUUAUGCUCGUUAAAGGUAUGUUUAUCUUCAAAGCAAGUUUAUCUGGUUAUGCUUCAACCUGUUGUUAUAGUGGUGAGCUAACUAAUACUAUUUUUACAUAAGGUGC